CUCGCCAGGGGACUACGAGCUAUAGUUUUGUUUAAAAUACAAAACCAACCUGCUUAAAACCCAAAGGACUUGGCGGUGCUUUAUACCCCCCUAGAGGAGCCUGUUAUAGAAUCGAUAACCCCCGCUAAACCUCACCUUUUCUUGUAAAUACAGCCUGUAUACCGCCGUCGUCAGUUUACCCUAUGAAGGUAUAGUAGUAGACGCAAUUGUUCUAAGCCAAAAUGACAGGUCAAGGUGCAGCUAAUGAAAAGGAAUUUAAAUGGGCUACAUUUACUGAUUCAGUAAAUUACGAAUGUUUGUAAUGAAAAGACAACUGAAGGUGGAUUUAGUAGUAAGAAGUGAAAAGAGUGCACUUCUGAACUUUAAGGCUCUGAAGCGUGCACACACCGCCCGUCACCCUCCCCCACCGUUUAAUUUUAGCUGCCUUAAUUGUAGGCAAGCCAUAUAAAAUUAAUAAUUAAACACUUGGACUGCUGGGGAGGCAAGUCGUAACAUGGUAAGUGUACUGGAAAGUGUACUUGUGUAAACCC
rnacentral:rRNA from 1 species